GAAACAGCAAUAAUGGAAUACUGCUUGCUCAUUGGAUUACAUAAAUGUUCCCACCCUCUGCUGGAAGGCGAUUGGCUGAGAGCUGCUAGGGCGGGGAAUCUGAGUCAUAUAGUUUAGAUGCCAAUGAGGGCAGGAAUACUGGAUGCUGCAAGUAAGUUGAAGGAAGCCUGACACCAGACUUAGAUGUAGAGAUCAUGGAGGGGGUUUCUUCAGGUAAAGAACCCCUGGAGCCCUUUACAAUGGAAAGGAAGAUUCUGUGUGAAAGAUGAAAGAAGCUGGACUCUAGAAAUCCUAAACGUUGAUACCAGGACAGCACAGAAAAUUGACAAUGGUAAUAUAGGCAGGGCCAGGCCAAGCCAGCCAGCCCCCUCGCACCCCCUGCACACAUGUACAACCACAGGCACGCGCACGCACAAGAGCACAUUGCCGGCAAGAGAGGACAAGGGUCAUGACUAGGGGUAUUUUCUGGAUAACAUGGGAAGAUCUACGAGUGGGAUCUACUUGAGUGGAAACCAAAGUCUUUUGAAGAAUCCACCUGCAUACACAGGCAGUACAGUGUUGGCUUUGAAGUCAUUACAGUGUUGACUACAGGAGACCCUGGGCCCUCUGGUUUCCAGAAAAAGAGCAGCGGUGAUUACAGGUGUGGUUUCUGCUACAUGGAACUGGAGAAUAUCCCGGCUGGUGUCUAUAACAUUAUAACUACUACAUUUCUGCCUGCCCAGGAGGGACCCUUCUUUUUAGACUUCAACACCGCAUUAGCCAUUAAGGUGACCCAACUCCAGUGACCCGGGAAUUAAAAUCCGUUCUUCCAAGUGACAAAGAUUUGCAAGCAGAUUCCCAGUUCAAAGAGGCAUGAAAGAUCCUGCAUUUCCCUGAUGUGACAUUGUGCAUCUCCAGUACGGCUCACAGUCUUGUACAAUCAGAAUCUUCAAGGGAGUUGGGUACCACAGACAGCCCAAAUGUAACUUGUACUUGAAUCUUGUUUCAAAGGAUAGUGCUAUAAAACAUAUUUUUUCAA